rnacentral:rRNA from 1 species
AUUAGGAAUCUUGCGCAAUGGGGGCAACCCUGACGCAGCGACACAGCGUGAAGGAUGAAGGUCUUCGGAUUGUAAACUUCUUUUAUAUGGGACGAAUAGAUGACGGUACCAUAUGAAUAAGCACCUGCUAACUACGUGCCAGAAGCAUCGGUUAUGCGUAGGGUGCGAACGUUAUCCGGAUUUACUGGGCGUAUAGAGAUGCGUAGGCUGUUUGAUAAGUCUUGAGUUAAAGACCUCGGCUCAACCGAGGGAAAGCUUUCGAAACUAUCAGACUUGAGAUAUAGAAGGGUGAACGGAACUCUGAGUGGAGUGGUGAAAUACGUUGAUAUUCAGAAGAACAUCAGUGGCGAAGGCGGUUCACUGGCUAUUAUCUGACGCUAAGGCUCGAAAGCGUGGGGAGCAAAACGGAUUAGAUACCCCAGUAGUCC